GACGAGGCAGCCGAGUGGUGAAGGCGAUGGACUACUGCUAAUCCACUGUGCUCUGCACACGUGGGUUUGUAUCCCAUCCUUGUCA
rnacentral:tRNA from 1 species